GGGGUCUUAGCUCAGCUGGUAGAGCGCCUCAAUGGCAUUGAGGAGGUCAGGGGUUCGAAUCCCCUAGGCUCCACAA
rnacentral:tRNA from 1 species